GACCCCAGCCUCCCCCCCACCAAGAGAAAUGGAAUCUAGGUGUAACAGUGACCAUGGCAAAUGGCACUGAGCACCUGAGCUGUCACAUGAGUCUCUGCCAUUGGAUAAAGCUUUCAUUGCAUUGGUGGAGAGAGGUCAGACACAUGAGCUAUGUCCAUGUGCCUGGGUCCUGGGGCAACAGCCCUAAAACAGGAAGUGGGGAGUGUGUACAAGUCAGGUGGAAGCUUUUAGUCACUGCUCUUAGCACUGCUGCUCCAUCAUGCCCGCCUGCCUACCGCCAUGCUACCCACCAUGAUGGUCAUGGUCUCCAUCUCUGGAACGAAACUCCUGUCUCAAGUUUGUAUGGAUAAAAAAAGGGGGAAGUGGCCCCUGAUGUGAAAGCUCUACCACAAGGGUGGGACCCAGUGAAGGACGCUGCUGGAAGUGGAACACUCAGGAAAAGUGAAAAUGUUGGCAGAGAUGCUGAAGGAGCAUGGUGGCUGCAAGAGCAAUUGGUGAGACACCCUGAUGCUGGGACAGAGAAUGAAGCUGAUUGUGAUCUUACUGAGUGCCCUGACAAUGGUGAUGGGGAAGCUGUCUUGGGCAUAUGUUCCUGACCCGCCUUUGCUAUACAUAUUCUUCUGUAUGGCCAAAGUCAGAAGAAUUUGUGACCUUGAAUAAUACUCGGCUGUUAGGAUUUCCUUGGUCUAAGAGUAAAAUCUAUUUCAAAUUAUUGAAUUACACCGCUGUAGGUCAGGGUCUGCCUAUUUGUUUUACUGGAAAUAGUACCAAUGCUAGAUGCUUUCCUGUGGACCCUCAGACUUGGAAGAAGACUAUCUUUAAGACUAUAGUACAAAGCACUGUAAUGGGGGUGCCUGUAUCUCAGACUGGACAGGCUGCCUUGCCUUAGGCUUUAGAUCUUACAGGACAGAAAACACAGAGACUGUGGAACCUGCCUUCAAAGAAUCAAUCAAAUGGGAAGUUGUUAUAAUGACUCUCCCCUUUCUUUUAAUGUGACUGGUUAUCCCUACUCAAUAAUGGACUGGUCUGGACAUUAAUCCAAUAUAGGACAAGGAAAUGACAGUGGGCAUUUGGAGGCCUGGUUCUGGACAUUUUCAGACUCAUAUUUGGAAAUUGGAAUUGUUUUGUCUUUUGUCCAAUUGUGUUUCUGCACUGUAUGAUGGUCAGUCUGUAAUGGUAGUACAUAACCAGCUUUUAUUAUGAUUCCUGUCAAUUUAUCUGAACCCUGGUAUUCUGAAAAAUGCCUACAAAUAUUGGAAGAAUUAGAUCACACUCUGGCAAGGAGCAAACAUAUGGUUGGGCCGAUCAUUGUUGGUGUUGUUGCUCUCAUGACUCUUAUAGCCAGUGCUACUACUUCUGCAUUGGCUUUAUCCCAAGAGGUACAAACAGCUAGUUUUGUUAAUCAUCCUGCAGACAAUGUAACCAAUGCUGUGGGCAAACAAGAGGAUUUAGAUAAGAUAGCUAGAACAAAAGAUAAACGCAUUAUAUGAUAUAGUGCAGAUCAUGGGAGGUGAAGUAAAAUGAAUGAAAGUCAGAAGCCAUUUGGCAUGGCAUGCUUGAUAUCUCUGGAUUUGUAGAACUCCAAAAAUGUAUAACAAGAGUCAGCAUAACUGGACCAGAGUUAAAAGGCACCUUCAGGGUACUUGGCAUAAUACUAAUACUUCUCUAGGUUUAUUUGCCCUGCAUAAGGAGGUUGUAAGUUUAAGAAGUGUAAAGCCUUUCUCUUUCAAUGCUGUAGAAUUGCAAAUGAUAUUCUGAAAAAGUUAUAGGAAGUUUUUCCUUCAUGGUCCUCAUUUAUAUCUCUUUUAUUAGGCACAGCAGGACUUGGCUUUGUGAUCUUUUUUUAUAGCAUGCCUAUUGUCUGUUCUUUGGAGAAGAGUCAUCAGAACUUUUAUAGAUAUCAAAACAGUUACAUAAAUUUAAGCUCCAACAUCUUCCCUAGCAGUAGUUGGUAGUUGAUUAUGGGUAAAAUCAUCUUGAAAACCUUCUCAACCUAAGACAGGCCAUGAAUACAAGAUUAUUCGAGUGCCAAUGAUGGGUAGGAGCUGUGUUUUCAGGUGGUAACCUAAGACAGACGCAACUUUCUGCUCCAUAACUGACAAAGUGCUUCUUAUAGAUAAAUAAGUCUGCUGACAUGUCUGGGUUUAGUUAAGACAUGUGUUAUAUCCUGCCAAGCUCCUCUGCUUAUGCAAGCAUUAUUGAGAGACUGUCCAAACCUGAAGGAAAUGGCCUUAAACUAACAUACUGUGUACCAUAAACUCACCAUGUAAGCAUUCAUGCCCAUUGUUUAACUUCCUAGAAUUGAUCAUGCUUUCUAUCCAUUGUCUUUAAAGGAUACUAAGAAAAUACACUCAUUGCUGCCAUGGUGUUGACCAGCAUUACUCCCA
rnacentral:sRNA from 1 species